rnacentral:lncRNA from 1 species
UGACAAGCUGCGCAACUGCAGUUCAGCCACUUAACCUCUCUGAACCUCAGAUUCCCUGGCUGUAAAAUGAGGACACUUGUAAUUUUUCAGUAUAUAUCCCAUGCAAGUAUUUGGACUGACUUAUACUAAAAAAUGUUCAUUCUUUAUCUGAACUUCAAAUUUAACUGGGCGCCCUAUAUUUUUAUUUGCUACAUCUGGAAGCUUCAUCAUGUUAUGAGUCCUGGGGGGCCAAUGCCACACCCCCGUCCUCUCUUUCCCUUCCUUGGCCUCACCUUUCCCUCUCACCUAAAAUUUCUGCCGCUUUGCUGUGUUUUACCCAUCACUGAAAGGCACCUGCAUUCCACCUUGGGGAACAAUGGGGUGGGGUCCAAACCAACCCACAGUGAGGUUGAUGGCCGUGCCGGCUCCUUGAGCCAACUCUAGCAAGGGGUUUCAUUGCUCAGGCCAACCCCAGGCCUCCCUAAGCCAAGGGGUCAAAGAGCUAAGGUCAUGACACAGCUGGAGGAAGUGAGGGAACAAGAGCCUCAGUGGAUACGAACCUCAGUUCACAAACCAGAUAUACAAGAAAAAGGACAUGGUUAUUAUGAAUCAAGAUUGCUUCUCUUCUAAGUCCCUUUCCUGCUGGGAGGGCCGAGACAGAAUCCCACACCUCCAGGUCAUGUCUAUUCAGGGUAUUUGCAGAGCUGAGGCAUCCAGGAUGGCCCUCGCAUCCUCUACCUUAUCUGGUCUCCAAACUGCCUU